UAAGACGAUCCACGGCAAGUAACAUUUUAAUCCCAUUACUACUGGCGAAAUAACCUUGAAAUUUUGAGGGUUGACCUCAUCUGAUCUCCAGUAGCAGUUUUGACCAGUUAUAUGGGAGGUGUUAUGCGUCUGGAUCGUCUUAC
rfam:Brenneria sp. EniD312 chromosome, whole genome shotgun sequence.